rnacentral:rRNA from 1 species
UGGGGAAUCUUGCACAAUGGGCGAAAGCCUGAUGCAGCAACGCCGCGUGCGGGAAGAAGGCCCUAGGGUUGUAAACCACUUUCAGUAGGGAAGAAAAUGACGGUACCUACAGAAGAAGGUGCGGCCAACUACGUGCCAGCAGCCGCGGUGACACGUAGGCCCCAAGCGUUAUCCGGAUUUAUUGGGCGUAAAGAGCUCGUAGGCGGUUCGGCAAGUCGGGUGCGCAAACUCUGGGCUCAACCCAGAGUG